rnacentral:rRNA from 1 species
AACGAACGCUGGCGGCAGGCCUAACACAUGCAAGUCGAGCGAGGACUUCGGUCCUAGCGGCGGACGGGUGAGUAACGCGUGGGAAUGUGCCCUUCUCUACGGAAUAGCCCCGGGAAACUGGGAGUAAUACCGUAUACGCCCUAUUGGGGAAAGAUUUAUCGGAGAAGGAUCAGCCCGCGUUGGAUUAGGUAGUUGGUGGGGUAAUGGCCUACCAAGCCGACGAUCCAUAGCUGGUUUGAGAGGAUGAUCAGCCACACUGGGACUGAGACACGGCCCAGACUCCUACGGGAGGCAGCAGUGGGGAAUCUUAGACAAUGGGGGCAACCCUGAUCGAGCCAUGCCGCGUGAGUGAUGAAGGCCUUAGGGUUGUAAAGCUCUUUCAGCUGGGAAGAUAAUGACGGUACCAGCAGAAGAAGCCCCGGCUAACUCCGUG